rnacentral:rRNA from 1 species
UACAGAGGUGGCAAGCGUUGUUCGGAAUUACUGGGCGUAAAGGGCGCGUAGGCGGCCUUCUAAGUCAGACGUGAAAUCCCCCGGCUUAACCUGGGAACUGCGUCUGAUACUGGGAGGCUUGAGUAUGGGAGAGGGAUGUAGAAUUCCAGGUGUAGCGGUGAAAUGCGUAGAUAUCUGGAGGAAUACCGGUGGCGAAGGCGGCAUCCUGGACCGACACUGACGCUGAGGCGCGAAAGCCAGGGAGCAAACGGG